ensembl:lncRNA LINC02002 long intergenic non-protein coding RNA 2002
ACGUUAUCUAGGAAAAUGCUUUGCGUGUGUAGAUUCUACUCAGACAGGUUUGAAAUACUCUAAGACAUUUUGGAGCUCUUGGGGCCUAUAAUGAAGAAACGUAUAUCCUGCGAUGAAAACUUGAAACAAGCUACCUGUGAAAAUGCUUUGCAAUGUGUAGAUUCAUCUGACAGUUAAACCUUUGUUUUGAUUCAACAGGGGUUUGGGAACAUACUUUUUAUAUAACUUAUGAAUGGACAUUUCAGAGCCCAUUGAAGCCUAUACUGAAAAUCCAAAUAUCCUGCGAUAAAAACUAGGAGUAAGCUAUCUGUGAAAAUGCUUUGCGAGGUUUGGAUUAAUCUCACAGAUUUAAGCUGUUGCUUUGAUUUAGCAGGUUGGAAACCCUCUUUUUCUACAAUCUACUAGGGUACUAUUCGGACCAAAUUGAGGCCUAUACUGAAAAACUGAUUAUCCCGUGAUAAAAACUAGAAAAAAGCUGUCAGUAAAAAUGCUGUGCAAUAUGUGGAUUCAUGUCACAAAUUUAAACCUCUGCAUUUAUUCAGCAAGUUUGGAAUACCUUUUUGUAGAAUAUACAAAGGGAUGUUUCACACCUAUAAAAGCCUAUAGUAAAAAAGUUGGAUACACUCUUGUUGUAGAAUCUACAAAGAGACAUUUUGAAGUUCAUUGAGGUCUAUAGUGAAAAACCAAAUAUCCAGUGAUAGAAACUAUAAAGAAGCUAUCUCUGAAAAUACUUUAUGAUGUGUGAUUUCAUUUCACAAGUUGAACUUUUCUUUUGAUUCAACAGCAGGUUGGAAACACUCUUUUGUAAAAUCUACAAAGAAACAUUUUGGAGUCCAUUGAGGCCUAUAGUGAAAAACUGAAUAUUUCGCCUUGAAAACCAGAAACAAGCUAUCUGUGAAAAUGCUUUGUGAUGGAAGAUUUAUCUCACAGAGUUAAACGUUUGUAUUGAUUCAGCUGGCUGGCAACACUCUUUUUGUAAAAUCUACAAUGGGACAUUUCAGAGACCAUUGAAGUCUACAGAAAAAGACUGAAUAUCCCAUGAUUAAAACUAGAAACAAGCUAUCCAUCAAAAUGCUUUGUGAUGUUUGGAUUCACUUUACAGAGUGAAACAUUUAUUUGGAUUAAGUAGGUUGGAAACACUCUUUUUAUAGAAUCUACGAAUGGAUAUUUUAGAGCCCAGUGAAGCCUAUAAUGAGAAACCAAGCAUUCCAUGAUAAAAACUAGAAACAAGCUAUCUGUGAACAUGCUUUGAGAUCUGUGGAUUCAUCUCACAGGGCUAAACCAUUAUUUUGGUUCAGCAGGUAGGAUACACUGUUCUUCUAGAACCUAAGAAGGGACACUUCAGAGCUGAUUUAGGCCUACAGUAAAAAACCGCAUAUCCCAUGAUAAAAACUAGAAACAUGCUAUCUAUGUAAAUACUUUGUGAUGUGUAUAUUCAUGUCACAUAAUUAAACUUUUGUUUUUAUUAAAAA